rnacentral:lncRNA from 1 species
AGCACAAGUUGGGAAAGGGUUAGGACUGCACUAAGAGGGGUGGAGCAGGCAGUCGCCGGAGGGCCACUUCUGGGCCCCUUGCCUGAACUCACGUGCAGCCGUUCUAGCUGUAACAGACGUUUUCUGUGGGUCCUUCGUGUGUUGGCCGAGUGACUUGUCCCCAGAGAAGCCUUUCUUUAACCAGUGUUCCCCUAAUCUUCUCCCCCGGAGCAACAUUAAACUUUAUCUGUUCUUUUGCCCCUCCAGUAACCUGAGAGCUUCUUUGGAAGGAAAAUGCUUUCUUUGGCCGGACGCGGUGGCUCACCCCUGUAAUCCUAGCACUUUGGGAGGCUGAGGCGGGCGGAUCACGAGGUCAGGAGUUCGAGACCAGCCUGGCCAACAUGGUGAAACCCCAUCUUUACUAAAAAUACAAAAAUUAGCCGAGCUUGGUGGCGUGCGCCUGUAACCCCGCUACUCAAGAGGCUGAGGCUGGCGAAUCGCUUGAACCCGGGAGGCGGAGGUUGCAGUGAGCCGAGAUCGUGCCACAGCACUCCAGCCUGGGCGACAGAGCAAGACUUUGUCUCAAAAAAAAAAAAAAAAAAAAAUGCUUUCUUUCUCUCUAAAGCCUGGACUUAGCGCCUUGCCCAUAGUAAUAGCUGGUAUUCACUAAUUCAACAAAUAUUUAUUGAUAUCGCCUCUUGAGUGAGCUUUAAUAAUUUGUAGAAAUGUCUAAAUUGUUUAAUAAUGCAAAUCUGUUAGCUGUAUUCCUUUAUUGUCCACUUAAUGUCUAUAAAAUCUGACCCCUCAGGUUCUGAAAUUGGUAAUUUGUGUGUCAUCUUUUUUUCUGAUCGAUCUGGUGAGGGGCUUCUCGGUUUACGGAUCUCAAAUCUCAAAGCCCGUUUUUGCUUUCUUGGAUUUUCUCUACUGGUUUUCUGUUUUCUAUUUUAUUGAUUUCUGCUCUUAUGUUUAUUGUUUCCUUUACUCUGCUAUUUUUUAAUUUUUAAAUUUCUUGUUUUGUUUCUCUAGUUUCUUAACUCAGAAACUGAUGACCAUUAAUUUUAGAUGUCUCUUGUUUGUACAGGCAUUUGGUGUGAUAAGUGUCCCUCUAUACUGUUUUAGCUACAUUCCACAUAUUUUGAUAUAUUGUAUUUUCAUUUUCCUUCAUUUCAAAAUACUUUGUAAUUUCCCUAUUGCUUUCUUUUUUUGACCAUGGGUUUUUUGUAAGUGUUGGUCUGCAAAUGUGGAGGAGUUUUCCAGGUAGCUGCCUGUUACUGAUUUCUGAUUUAAUCCCAUUGUGAUCAGAGAAGGUACUUCGUACACUAUUAAUAAUUUUAAACUUAUUGACACUUGUUCUGUGGCCCAGAGUAUAUAGUCUGUCUUGGUAAAUACUCACUGUGCAUUUGAAAUGAAUGUGUUUUUUGCAGUUGUUGCAUGGAGUGUUCUAUAAAUGUCAAUCAUGUCAAGUUGGUUGAUAUUAGUGUUCAAAUCUAUAUCCUUUCUGAUUUACUGUCUACUUAUUCUACUAAUUAUUGAGAGUAUUGAAAUUUCUGACUAUUACUGGUUUUUUUCAAUUGUAGUUCUAUCAAUUUCUGCUUCAUGUACUUUGCAGCUCAGCUAUUAGUUGCAUAAACAUAGUUAUUCUCUUAUUUGUAUGAAUUUAUCCUUUAUGAAAGUUUCAUUAUUAUGAAAUUAUCCACUUUACAAAUGACCCUCCUCUUUGCUGAUAAUGUUCUUUGCUCUGAAGUAUAUUUUGUCUGAUAGUAUUACAGCUACUUAGGCUUUCUUUUGUAGGGUGUUAACAUGGUAUAUAUAAGGAAAACAUAAUUCCAAUUCUAGAUAAAGUCCUCCAAAAAUUGAAGAGGAGGGAAUACUUCCCAGCUCAUUCUGUGGGGCCAGCAUUACACUAAUACCCAAACUCUAGAUAUUAAACAAGCAAACUAUGGACCAAUAUCUCUCAUAAACAUAAUAUGCACAAUUCUAGUCACUUUUAUUUCACAGUAUAUAAAAAAGAUAAUACAUUAUAUCCAAACAGGUGCUUAUCCUAGGAAUGCAAGGUUGAAUUAGCAUUGUAUUGACCAUAAAAGAGUAUACUGGUACUUGCUUUACGGAGAAAACUUUAAAGACUGUUUCCUAAGGUGGACCCAAUGGGAAAUUACACAGGUUUACAUGAGACAAGGCAGUAAAAAGUAGAUUAUAUAAAAAAGAUAUAUAAAUAUAUAAAUACAUAAAAAUAUAUAAAAAAGAUAAUACAUUAUAACCAAACAGGGGCUUAUCCUAGGAAUGCAAGGUUGAAUUAGCAUUGGUAAAUCAAGCAAUGUAAUUUACCAUAUUAACAAACUAAAAAAGAAAAACCAUUUGAUAAUCUCAAUACAUGCAGCAAAUGCAUUGGACAAAAUCCAGUAUCCAUUCCUAAGAUUACAAGGAAACUUCCUCAACUUGAUAGAGAGUGUCUAUAAAAAGCAUCACACUUAAUGGUGAAGAACAGUGCUUUCAACUUAAGAUCAGGAACAAGGCAAGGAUUUCUGCUCUGACAACUUAUGUUCAAUAUUGUACUGGGGAUUCUAGCCUGUGCAAUAAGGCAAGGAAAAAAAAAAGGCAUUCAAAUUAGCAAAGAAGGAAGUAAAACUGGUUUUAUUUGUUUUAUUUAUUGAAAACUCUGGCACAAAAUCUACAAAAAACUAUCAGAUCAAAUAAAUGACCAAGACUACAGGUCGUAAAAUCAAUACACAAAUGUCAAUGGCAUUUGUAGUACACCAGCAAUAAACAAUCUGAAAUUGAAAUUUAAAAUACCAUCUACAACAGCAUCAAAAAUUUGAGGCGGGCAUGGUGGCAUGCACCUGUAGUCCCAGCUACUUGAGAGGAUGAGGCAGAGAAUCACUUGAGCCCAGGAGUAUGAUGGCAUUAUGAUAGGUCACUGCAGCCCCAGAAAGAGAAUGGAAAGACAAGCCAAAAACUGAAGCAGCUAUUUGCAAAUCACGUAUCUGAUAAGAAUGUGUGUGUGUGGUU